CACUUCCUGAUGGCCCCUGGAGGAAGUCUCCGUGCCUGUCAGUCCCUCUCAGGUCAUAAGGAAGUUCUCUGGCCCCUUCUCCCACAAACACAGCCCCCUCCCUACAUGAAAUACCCUUCAGCUCCCACAGCCACCACUGUAGAAGUCCCUGGCUGAGGCCUGUCCUGCAAGUGCCCCACAGGCUCUUCUGCUCCCUCCCGUCUCCUGCUUUCUAGGUCUUCACUCCUCCGUGUUUGGGAAGGAAGGGAGGAAGGGUGAGGAUCCCGACUACGGGGACCCUCUCCCUGGCCCCUGGACCACCUCAGGGCUUUGGCAGCCACUGACACAGACACCCUUGCCAGGGCACCCCUGCCCUUGCCCUUUGCCUCCUAGGUAAAGUCCCUUGAAGCCUGGUGUCUCUAAGCUGGGCUCCUAUGGCAGAGGGGACACACUCAAGCCCUUUGUCCUGACAACAUCCAGAACUCCAGGCCAUUGCUGAGGCAGCCAGGUGUGGACCUGGCUUCAGAACCACAGACCGUAAAAGAUUCAGAGUCAAGAUCACCAAUUAAUCUACUGGAAGGUCCAUCCCUUGUUUGAGGAAGACGCGAACGUGAUGAGGGAGGGGAGAUGAGACCGCUCGCCAGUGUUUUCCGAAUCUACAUGAUCUCUAUUCGCCUUUUAACUCACUGCUUCUGUGAGGGGAGUCUGCCAUCUCUCUGGGAUAUGAGAGGCAGACAGCUCCCUGGAUCAACCCCAGCUGCAGACAUGGCUACAGUUUGAAUGUAUCACCUCCAGAAUGCAAGAGCUGCCAAUGUGGAAGUGAGCUCCUUCCAAGAAGAGAUCACCGCAGAUAAGUCAGAGUGCAUGCAUUAAAGUCAAAACGAUUGGUGCCUUCAAGAGUAAGACCCCUGAAUCAUGCAAGGAGCUUCACUCAGAAAGAAGACCUUCAUCUCUACUUUCAGAAUGUUCUUCACGGCCCUCAAAUGAGGAUGGUGAUGAUGACGACUGUCAAGGCUCAAGCUCAGGCCAUUCCCUGCUGUGUGCCAUAAAUCAGUGCCCGAAGGGACAGGAAACAGAGGAGCCCAUGAGGGUGGUCGUCUCCAGAACAGACGCUCCCCAUUCAGCCACACUUGGCCUGGAUGUGCAUACCAGGUGUGAGGCUAUUGAUUCGAAUCUGGAUUAAGGAACCCCACUUCUCCAGGGCUCCAUGUGAGGACUAGCAGGGUGCUGCCAUCAGGUCAGGAAGUGGCUUGGAAAUGGGGGCUGUUCUCACUGCACAUCUGACAAGUUGGAUCCGCUCCAAUGCCCAGGAAGCUGGGGUGAAGAGGACAGUCUUUGGUGUGUGACACCCUGAAGCUCAAGUCCAGGAUGUGGGCUCUGAGGCGAGUUAGUUUAGCUCUGAGCAUCAGCGUUUCUCUCUGAAAGUGGAGUUGGCAGUGUCUUCGUCUGAGACUUCCUGUGAGAAUUCAGUACUGCAUGAAAAGUGGCCCAAAGUACAUAAUUAAUUAUUGCUCAUUAUUUUUAUUACUUCUAAGCUACUUCAUUACGUUGAUGUCCUUUCUGUAAUGAACAGCAUAUUAUAUUAAAAUAUAAGCUUAUUUAUUCAUGUAGCAGAUAUUCAUUAUGUGAUUAUUACGUGCCAAACUCUAGACUAGCUCUGGGUUAGAAAAAUGGAUAAGUCUAGGUCCCAUCUUCAAAGAGCUGGAAAGAUAGGAGAGAAAGUAGAUUCAUGCAAUUACCUAAAAUAAUAAUGAGAAUAACAACAAUAACAACUUGAGACCCCCAGUAUGUGCCAGUUCCAUUGGUGUGUGGGCUACGGAUUGCCAGGGUCACCCCACAGAGGACAGCUGAUGGAAUCAUAUUUAAACCUCAUGACAAUUGCCAAGUAUCUUAGCAGUUCAGGCUGCCGUAACAAAAUACCACAGACCAGGUGGCUUCAACAAGGGUGAUUUGUUUUCUCAUGAUUCUGGAGACUGAAAAUCUAAAAUCAAGGUUCCAGCAGGAUUGGUUCCUGGUAAGACUUCUCUCCUCAGCUUGUAGACAGCUGCCUAUGUGCUAUGUCUUCACAUGGCAGUGAGCAAGCUCUCUAGUAUCUCUUCAUAUGAGGACACUGACCCCAUCAUGAGGACCCACCCUC
rnacentral:lncRNA from 1 species